GGGAAGAUGUGUGACGAAUUGCACUUCGCCACUGGGUUUUGGAGAGGACUACUUGUUAGCCUUUUACCUUUUAACUAUGGCCCCUGUGACUUAUUUUGUUCUAAGGAACUAUUUCUGCCUAUUGGGAUUGUGGACAAUGGCUCUUUAAACUUUCUAAGUAGUCGAAAUGGCACUUCGGAUAGAGCCGAAGGGUAGAAGUCGGCGCCAUUCAAAAAUUCG